rnacentral:misc_RNA from 1 species
UCUCCGUAGGUGAACCUGCGGAGGGAUCAUUAACAUCAACACAUGGUUGAGUGGGUGGCACCGUGGUCACUUCGAUCACAUCCCCCACUCCAUCCUACACCACUGCGAACUCAUUCACAAAUUCUCACCACGCAACCGUUCAUGUCAGGAGCAGUCGCAUUCACAUGCUGCUGGUCCGGUGUCUUGGUCUGCUGGUACCCACACCAUAUAUACAUUUUUACUCCUCCACCCAUAUACCUAUACACAAAUGUGAGAUCGACAGUUCAUCUGUCCUGAUCCAACUAAAUCAAUUUAUACCACUCCUAGCAAUGGAUAUCUUGGUUCUCGUACCGAUGAAGAACGCAGC